GAUGAACGCUGGCGGCGUGCCUAAUACAUGCAAGUCGAGCGAACAGACGAGGAGCUUGCUCCUUCGACGUUAGCGGCGGACGGGUGAGUAACACGUAGGUAACCUACCUAUAAGACUGGGAUAACUUCGGGAAACCGGAGCUAAUACCGGAUAAUAUUUCGAACCGCAUGGUUCGAUAGUGAAAGAUGGCUUUGCUAUCACUUAUAGAUGGACCUGCGCCGUAUUAGUUAGUUGGUAAGGUAACGGCUUACCAAGGCAACGAUACGUAGCCGACCUGAGAGGGUGGUCGGCCACACUGGAACUGAGACACGGUCCAGACUCCUACGGGAGGCAGCAGUAGGGAAUCUUCCGCAAUGGGCGAAAGCCUGACGGAGCAACGCCGCGUGAGUGAUGAAGGUCUUCUGAUCGUAAAACUCUGUUAUUAGGGAAGAACAAACGUGUAAGUAACUGUGCACGUCUUGACGGUACCUAAUCAGAAAGCCACGGCUAACUACGUG
rnacentral:rRNA from 1 species